rnacentral:tRNA from 1 species
AAGGCCCUAGCUCAAUUAAAGCGCCUGGGUUG